UACGUAGGGGGCAAGCGUUGUCCGGAAUCACUGGGCGUAAAGCGCACGUAGGCGGAUUGCUAAGUCAGGGGUGAAAUCCUGGAGCUCAACUCCAGAACUGCCUUUGAUACUGGCGACCUUGAGUCCGGGAGAGGUGAGUGGAACUGCGAGUGUAGAGGUGAAAUUCGUAGAUAUUCGCAAGAACACCAGUGGCGAAGGCGGCUCACUGGCCCGAUACUGACGCUGAGGCACGAAAGCGUGGGGAGCAAACAGG
rnacentral:rRNA from 1 species